rnacentral:rRNA from 1 species
GAUGAACGCUAGCGGCAGGCUUAAUACAUGCAAGUCGAGGGGCAGCAUAGGUGUAGCAAUACAUUUGAUGGCGACCGGCAAACGGGUGCGGAACACGUACACAACCUUCCGAUAAGUGGGGAAUAGCCCAGAGAAAUUUGGAUUAAUACCCCGUAACAUAUAGAGGUGGCAUCAUCUUUAUAUUAUAGCUACGGCGCUUAUUGAUGGGUGUGCGGCUGAUUAGAUAGUUGGCGGGGUAACGGCCCACCAAGUCUACGAUCAGUAGCUGAUGUGAGAGCAUGAUCAGCCACACGGGCACUGAGACACGGGCCCGACUCCUACGGGAGGCAACAGUAAGGAAUAUUGGUCAAUGGACGCAAGUCUGAACCAGCCAUGCCGCGUGAAGGAUUAAGGUCCUCUGGAUUGUAAACUUCUUUUAUCUGGGACGAAAAAAGGCGGUUCUUCGUCACUUGACGGUACCAGAUGAAUAAGCACCGGCUAACUCCGUGCCAGCAGCCGCGGUAACAC